rnacentral:rRNA from 1 species
AGCGAAGGGCGAUAAGUAAUGUGAAUUGCAGUAUUUUCAGUGAAUCAUCGAAUCUUUGAACGCACUUGCGCUCCUUGGUAUUCCGAGGAGCAUGCCUGUUUGAGUGUCAAUUAAAUUCUCAACCCCACCGAUUUGCUUCGGGGGGAUUGGACUUGGAGCGUGCUGGCGAAGGUCGGCUCCUCUUUAAAUGCAUCAGUGGAGAGAAACUUGCCCCAGUGUGAUAAUCCUGUUGCGCUGUGGUGGGUGAAAGUCUGCUUCCAACCGUCCCUCCGGGGACAUACGUCAUCUUAUUUUGACCUCAAAUCAGGUAGGACUACCCGCUGAACUUAA